rnacentral:rRNA from 1 species
GACGAACGCUGGCGGCGUGCUUAACACAUGCAAGUCGAACGGAAAGGCCCUGCUUUUGUGGGGUGCUCGAGUGGCGAACGGGUGAGUAACACGUGAGUAACCUGCCCUUGACUUUGGGAUAACUUCAGGAAACUGGGGCUAAUACCGGAUAGGAGCUCCUGCUGCAUGGUGGGGGUUGGAAAGUUUCGGCGGUUGGGGAUGGACUCGCGGCUUAUCAGCUUGUUGGUGGGGUAGUGGCUUACCAAGGCUUUGACGGGUAGCCGGCCUGAGAGGGUGACCGGCCACAUUGGGACUGAGAUACGGCCCAGACUCCUACGGGAGGCAGCAGUGGGGAAUAUUGCACAAUGGGCGGAAGCCUGAUGCAGCAACGCAGCGUGCGGGAUGACGGCCUGCGGGUUGUGAACCGCUUUCGCCUGUGACGAAGCGUGAGUGACGGUAAUGGGUAAAGAAGCACCGGCUAACUACGUG